rnacentral:lncRNA from 1 species
CUUUCUAGCUGCCUCCCAAGGCAUCCCUGGAAACAGUGAUUCAUUCUGGUGGGCUGGUGAAUCUUGAACAGGACAGCCUGAGGGGCAGACCUUAGAAGUUUAUCUUGACCAACGACAAAAUUUAGCUCCCCAGC